AGGUCUCUCAGUUGCUUCUUGCAGUGGAAAAUGGGGAAGUGAACAAAUGGAAGGGAAAGAGACUAGAGGACAUAACAGUCGAUGGCGUAAUCCGAUCCGGCGUUGCCUUCCUGCUCCUGCUUUGUCCACUCCCUGGCGAGCGGCUUGACCGGUGCCCAACAGGAGUGCGCAUAUAUACAUGUGUCAAUCUCGAUGAGGAGCCUGCUGGAGUUUCAUUGUUUAUUUCUACUGUGUCGUUUUUCUUAAGUCUGCGAUUUUCUGUUUGAGUUGCUUGAAUCCGUUCGAAAAGACGAUGAUGGACUAAGGUAAGCCGCUUCCCUAUUUCUAAAUCUUUCCUUAAAACGACGUUUAAUCGGGGGCCUCUCCUCAUCUUCCGAUAAACUGUCCAUCACAUUAUCAUGAGAACAAUCACUUGUUUCCUCAAAUUCGUCCGAAAAAUUCGAUCCGUCAGUCUUGGAUAGUAACGAUGGCUUAUCCGACAUACUUGGGAGACGUUUUCACUUAUUACCUUCUCACAAAGUCACACUGGUUUGUAGUAUUUCAACUGACUGAUCACUUGUUUUGGUUUGGUUUGGUUUAUUUUGUUUAACGUCCUAUUAACAGCUAAGGUCA